rnacentral:lncRNA from 1 species
UUAGUAGCAGGAAGGGUUCACAUGGCCAAGUACCUAGUGUGGGAACAAUGUGGACAUACACAUCUCAGUCUCAUCCCCAAAAAAUACGAUAUAACAGCUUCUACCUCAUUGGUCGGUAUGGAGAUAAAAUAAGUAAUGAAACAAAUGCACUUAACAUAGUGUCAGCCACAUAAUAAAUGCUCAACAAAUAGUGGGUGUUACUUGUUAUUACUGAAACAAGACAUACACAUUUGUGAAGAAAAUUGUAUAUAUGUUAGAGUAAUCCUAGAAAGGCACAUUCCUUCUGUUCCUUUGGCUAACAUUUCUGAGCUUUUUACAAAAAGAUACAGUGGGCUCCUGGGAAAAGUCCUUAAUGGAGCUUGAAAUCACCCAUCUGCCCUAGGCAAUUGCUGGAUCCAGUUUCAGAUCAGAGGGAGACAAAACAAAGUUCAUUUUCUGACGUCUCAGGAAUGCCCUUGUAGACAUGGAGCUCUCUAAAGAAAAUGACUAAGAGAGACACAGAGGAAGACCUGAGCUUUUUCGCUGGACCUAAAAGGAUUGAAUCCUAUCUCAGCUACUUUCUAGCUGUGCAAACUUGGGCAAGUACGUACCACCCUGGAACUCAAUUUGCUCACCUGUAAUAUGAAGCACUGUAGCAGGACUUAUUCCAGCUCUCGGGGAAUUGCAUGAGAUAAAGCAGAGAAGGCACCCAGCACAGUGCCUCAGUCCCUGCCAGCUGUCAUUUCUGUUCUCCAGUUGGAGGUUUGAGAGUGUUGAACGAUUUUUAGUCACCUGGAGACUGGCUAGCUCUCCCUUUCCCUUGCAAGCUACGGUAAGGACCGCCCACCUGGGCUUCAGAGCAAAGGAAGCCUUGGAGAAACUGGAGGGCUAUGGCUAGAAGGGAAGUUCAGCUUCCAAACCGUCACUUAAGAAGUGAUCCCACUCUGAGUCCUGUUGCUUUUCUCGUCUUAUUUCUAGGCACCACUAAAGCAUGACUCAAUGCUAUAGCCAUUCUUGGGUCGUGCCUAAGCC